UACGUAGGGCGCAAGCGUUGUCCGGAAUUAUUGGGCGUAAAGAGCUCGUAGGCGGCUUGUUACGUCGGGUGUGAAAGCCCGGGGCUUAACCCCGGGUCUGCAUUCGAUACGGGCUGGCUGGAGUGUGGUAGGGGAGAUCGGAAUUCCUGGUGUAGCGGUGAAAUGCGCAGAUAUCAGGAGGAACACCGGUGGCGAAGGCGGGUCUCUGGGCCGAUACUGACGCUGAGGAGCGAAAGCGUGGGGAGCGAACAGG
rnacentral:rRNA from 1 species